rnacentral:lncRNA from 1 species
UGGGUGUGUAUGAACCUGCACACGUGGGAGAGAAGCCUGGGGCCCGGGAUGCAGGGAGCCAGCAGGAAAGUCUCAGGUGAGGUCUAGACUAGGCUGGAGCUGGCUGUUGCCACGUCAGCAGCUGAAGAUAGAAAGUAGUCCUAAUUUCAGGGAGAGAGCGAAGCCGUUGUCCGCUCCACCCCUUGAGCUCUAAUUCUUGCUUUGCGCCCCAAUCCCACCCACCGCCACGGUCCAGGUGGCUCAGGAGUAGGGUGUCUUCCAGAUCUGAGACCCUGAUUCUACUGGAGGCUUAGCCCCGAGAAGCUGCCAGCCACAUGCAUCCAGGGCCUGCUGCGGGGCUGGAGCUAAGCUGCCUAGGGAGGAAAGUUGAGGAGGCACAACUCCGGGGCUGUGGAAGAGUCAUCAAACUCUUCACUCAGGUCCGGCAUCCUAACUACAGAAAUCUGGGGUUCUGGCAAUGAGCUUUAAAAAUGUCAAGGCUUUGAAAGCACUUUGAUAUGUUGGAUCUUAUUUGAAUCUCAUUAAAAAAAUGUCGAAGAAUUAUCACCAUUUCUAAAUGGCAUUGAGGGAGAGGUGCACGACAUUGGACGCUUGGUGUUUCCUACAUUUACCACGUAUGAAAUAAUGGAGAGAGAGAGAAAGAGAUAGAAGAUGAGUAACUGGGAAACCCACUCCACCUUCCAGAUAAGACCCCAUUCUGGAUUUGGGCCCAUCUGUGUUGCGCCUACAGUCAAAAUCCGCUUUCCGCUUUACCGGAACUUUUGCACUUGAACCCCACGACGCCUCCCUUCCUACACCUUAGACAUUACAUUGACCAAAGCACAAUUGAUGUGGUUUGAGUUCUUCCUGAGAGCGCCCCCCAGAGAAGCCCCUGGGAAAGACCGGUGCAGGGCCCAGCUUUGCACCUGUCUUUAGCCACGCGUGUUGCAAGCGCAUCUCUGCACGAAAAUGCAGGGUUGCCUGCCCCAAAGCCACUGUGGGGGUCCUGUAAAAAACGAGGGUCCAGGUGGGAGGUCUGGGAGUGAGGUGGGGGAUGAGGUAGGUGGUGAGGAAAGCGAAUGUUAGUAUAGAAGUUGGCUUUGUAUUGAAGGAGUACAGAACACUCUUCAAGGAGAGGAUAGAGAUCUUAAAAAGCAAACAGAAUAACUUUCACUACUAUAAUUGCUAUUAAUGAAAAAGGAGUUUAACCUGCUGAAUUAAGUAGAUAAAACCUGCUUGUUCAUUAUUGGGAGUUCCCUCACUACAAAGAGGGAAAAUAAAACAAGGAAACAAAAACCAAAUUCGAGGAGCUUCAUUGACUGGCCUCCGAAGUAUCUUGGAGGCAUCAGUCGGUCCGGAAAGCGCUCCGCCCUCUCAGUCCCCAGCGCAGUGAGAAAGCUAAAACCACCAAAGAAAAAGCAAAACAAAAACAAACAACGAAAGCGUUUAAAAUCCAAGAGGGAAAGUCUAAGUUGGUCUCAAAAUCUGCGCCAUGCCGCGGGUAGUCAACUCGGCUGCAGAUCCCGGACCGCCAGAGCCACGCAUCUGACGCCCCCGGCCCCGCUGGGGAGCGCAGCCCACAGCUCCCCCUCGCCAGGCGCCCAAGGACCCUCAAGGCGCGGGGCUCACACUUGAAGCCUGGGAACGCUCAGACAGGAAACCCACUUCCUCCUAAGCAGUUUCUUGCUCGCAGGAUGAGAGGUGCCCAAUUGAAGUAGAAUGAUCCUCAUCUACUAAUAUCCAGCGUGGCCACAAAGCGACUGGCCAUUUACGCAGCCACUUUAAACAAAGAUAUUUGGUUAUUCCCGGGGAAGCAAGUGCACUUUUGCAUGGCUGAGCUCCGGGGCGGAGGAGAGCUUCAGCCCAGCCUCCCGCCCGUUACGUUGCCAGCGCCAGGGUAUUCGCCCCCUCCCGGUCAGCGGGUCCCGCCAGGGUUUAGUUCCACCCGAGUACAGGCGAGAGGGCUCUCUCGCCGCCGGUUGCCGGUGUCCUCUGGAAGCCCCCCAAGGGGAAAACAGAGAGGCUCUCCUCUCUGGUUCUGAGGCUAUGAGGUCCUCUGAAAGUCGGUUCCAGCCCCAGAAUCCUGAGUGUCCAGACAAUGGGCCAGGGUCAGGGACAACUUCAGUGACGGACUCUCAUGUUAGUCGUUCCCCAUCUUCCUAGCUCAGGAGGCUACUGGUGUGCUUGCCUCAACCGGGGGUGGAGGUGGGGAGACAGCGUGCGGG